UACGAGAGGUCCAAAACGUUAUUCGGAAUUACUGGGCUUACAGAGUUCGUAGGCGGUUCUACAAGUGAGGUGUGAAAGCCCUCGGCUCAACCGAGGAACUGCGCUUCAAACUGUAGAACUAAGAGGGAGAUAGAGGUGAGCAGAACUGAUGGUGGAGCGGUGAAAUGCGUUGAUAUCAAUCAGGAAUACCGGAGGCGAAGGCGGCAUCAGCUGGGGUCUCUUCUGACGCUGAGGAACGAAAGCUAGGGGAGCAAACGGG
rnacentral:rRNA from 1 species